GGGUGCGUAGGUGGGCAGGUAAGUCAGUGGUGAAAUCUCCGGGCUUAACCCGGAAACUGCCGUUGAUACUAUCGGUCUUGAAUAUCGUGGAGAUGAGCGGAAUAUGUCAUGUAGCGGUGAAAUGCUUAGAUAUGACAUAGAACACCGAUUGCGAAGGCAGCUCGUUACACGAUUAUUGACACUGAGGCACGAAAGCGUGGGGAUCAAACAGGAUUAGAUACCCUGGUAGUCCACGCCCUAAACGAUGAUUACUCGACAUCAGCGAUACACUGUUGGUGUCUGAGCGAAAGCAUUAAGUAAUCCACCUGGGAAGUACGACCGCAAGGUUGAAACUCAAAGGAAUUGA
rnacentral:rRNA from 1 species